AGUGAACGCUGGCGGUAGGCCUAACACAUGCAAGUCGAACGGCAGCACAGAGGAGCUUGCUCCUUGGGUGGCGAGUGGCGGACGGGUGAGGAAUACAUCGGAAUCUACUCUGUCGUGGGGGAUAACGUAGGGAAACUUACGCUAACACCGCAUACGACCUACGGGUGAAAGCAGGGGACCUUCGGGCCUUGCGCGAUUGAAUGAGCCGAUGUCGGAUUAGCUAGUUGGCGGGGUAAAGGCCCACCAAGGCGACGAUCCGUAGCUGGUCUGAGAGGCUGAUCAGCCACACUGGAACUGAGACACGGUCCAGACUCCAACGGGAGGCAGCAGUGGGGAAUAUUGGACAAUGGGCGCAAGCCUGAUCCAGCCAUACCGCGUGGGUGAAGAAGGCCUUCGGGUUGUAAAGCCCUUUUGUUGGGAAAGAAAUCCAGCUGGCUAAUACCCGGUUGGGAUGACGGUACCCAAAGAAUAAGCACCGGCUAACUUCGUGCCAGCAGCCGCCGUAA
rnacentral:rRNA from 1 species